GUAGCGCUCCCUUUUGGGAUCAACGAGCUGUGUGGCGCCUGUGCGGCUUCUGAGAGACCGGCUGGUGGCGCUUGGCGGCUUCCUGCCAAUCCACCCUUCUCCUCCCGCGCAAGGGGGCAAUCCCAAUCCCACCACCGGGAACACCCAGGCCAAAAGAACGGGAGUUACACUCAAAGUCUUCCCCCUUCUUAUCACUCCUGCCGAUUUCCCUCUUCCUUUUUGCACGCCUCCACUCUUCCCCACCGGAAACGCCGCCCCUUCCUCCUACAGUUCCUCCCAGCAGUCCCUCAACGCCUGUCUUCCCUCGCGCGUAGAGAGUGACUCGAAGGACCCCCUCUCCUCUUCGCUGCAGCCCCUCCCCAUGCACGCUGGGAGACUCUUGGAGGGGAUAAGGUGGGGCCCGGAGAGGAAGAGAAGACAAUCGGAUUGGAUAGGCAGCUGCCAUGGCAACUGGAGGCUGUGGUUAUAUUGUCAUAGUAACCGAUGUGUGCGGACAGGGUCACCCUCCCCUUGGCCAAUGGAUUCCCAGGAAACCACCCAGGGUUCCCCGUUGGCUUCCCUUCCAUCUAAAGGCCUCCCCCAAGUUAGGAAUCGAUAUAGUUCUCCCCGGUGGUGAAGUCCACUUCCUCCUCCCUUCCCACUUCCCACAGCAACUGGGGGGACACCCCGAGGCAUUCACCAUGGGCUUUUCCACCCGCCUGCGAGCGGGAACCACCUCCGUAGUUUCCUCUCAGAGCCGGGCGUGGAGAGGGCUGGGCCUGCGAAGAGGAUGCAUGGCCUGGAGGCUGGCGGGCGGCGGGCUGGAGUCGGGAGGGCGAGGCGACAGCGCCAAGCGGCGAGGAAGGGCAAGGGGUUUCCCCACAACUGCCUUGGGCUCUGGGAGGCGGGAUCCCGCCUGGACGGGGUCCCUGAGGGAGGAGAGCGGCACACGACAGCCGCGAUGCCUUCCCUGCCGACGGGGAUAGCCGACUUCUGGUUUCGGGCCAAAAAGCUGAAAUAAAGAACGAAGUCAAUAAUAAUAUGAAGUGUAUGAGAAAUAGCUGGAAAAUUCAUCAUCCAUGACUUGAAGAAAUUGACGUUUUACAAGUUAUAUUUUCGGUUCGUAUUGUGGAGUCACUUAAGGAGCUAUCCCAAAGUACUUUAGGAUAUGUAACUAUAUAAAACCUUCCAAGAAUGCAGCCCUCAUAGGAUAGUUAAAAUAAGGAUUUUAAUGGGCUAUUUUGAUUUGGUUUGGUCUGGUUUGGCUACCUGAUUCCUGCUGUCUUUUUCUACGCCAGGUGAAGAGGCACUUUCAAGAUCCUUCUCUGAGACCUGCACCAAUAAGACUAUACCAAUGUUCAGUUGAAACAUCAGGUAUAAGUUUAGCGGAAACGAAAGUACAACCUGCUUUGAAAUAAAUUCCAAGGACAGAUUGUCAUUAACGAAAUAGAAAGUGGACUAUGCCCCUCAUGCUGCCAGCGCCUGGUAUGGUGCGGCGUGACACGCAGCGCUUGCGGCAGUACAAUGCCCCCAAUCACCCGCCCCGCCCCGACGCGCCGCCCACUCACGGCAAAGAGAGCCACCUAGUGAGGGAUUAUUCUCAUUUCCGCGGUGGGGUUCUGCUUUUCUUUCUACCAUGAGCGCCCAAGGAUAGACACUCCUACUACCUAUUACCUCAAAUAGCCUACAUUUCUUUCCGAAAAUUUAUUGACACUGUUCUGGUUAUGAUGGACACCACAGUGAAAGAGACCUGGUCCCUGCCUUGAGGAAACCCAACUGCUGGUAGAGAGCUCAGAGUAAUGAUUAGGAUGCAAUAUGAGGGAUGCAGUAAUUGGGGUAAGAACAAAGUAGGAACACAUGAGGUCAGAAAUAAUAAAGUCUGUGUUUUAUAGCAGCUUUCCUAAGAAUCUUAUAAGAGUCUUCAAUAGCUUUACAAUAUCUCUAGCUAAAUAGAAGAAUAGUAGUAUAUUUUAGAGAUUAGAAGACUUUGAUACUAAUAUUAAAAUUACCUUCAAAAAUCAAUAGGACUCAGAAAAAUUAUUACCUUCUAUUUAUAUACUGUUUAAUACACAUUUUCCAUUUUCAUCUAUUUCCACUUGUCCUAGUCAACAAACUUGUAGAA
rnacentral:lncRNA from 1 species